rnacentral:rRNA from 1 species
UAGAGUUUGAUCCUGGCUCAGGACGAACGCUGGCGGCGUGCCUAAUACAUGCAAGUCGAGCGCGGGAAGCGAGCUGAUCCCUUCGGGGUGACGCUCGUGGAACGAGCGGCGGACGGGUGAGUAACACGUGGGCAACCUGCCUGUAAGAUCGGGAUAACUCCGGGAAACCGGGGCUAAUACCGGGUAAUACUUUCUUUCGCAUGAAGGAAAGUUGAAAGAUGGCUUCUCGCUAUCACUUACAGAUGGGCCCGCGGCGCAUUAGCUAGUUGGUGAGGUAACGGCUCACCAAGGCGACGAUGCGUAGCCGACCUGAGAGGGUGAUCGGCCACACUGGGACUGAGACACGGCCCAGACUCCUACGGGAGGCAGCAGUAGGGAAUCUUCCGCAAUGGACGAAAGUCUGACGGAGCAACGCCGCGUGAACGAUGAAGGUCUUCGGAUCGUAAAGUUCUGUUGUUAGGGAAGAACAAGUACCGUGCGAAUAGAGCGGUACCUUGACGGUACCUAACGAGGAAGCCCCGGCUAACUACGUGCCAGCAGCCGCGGUAAUACGUAGGGGGCAAGCGUUGUCCGGAAUUAUUGGGCGUAAAGCGCGCGCAGGCGGUUCCUUAAGUCUGAUGUGAAAGCCCACGGCUCAACCGUGGAGGGUCAUUGGAAACUGGGGAACUUGAGGACAGAAGAGGAGAGUGGAAUUCCACGUGUAGCGGUGAAAUGCGUAGAUAUGUGGAGGAACACCAGUGGCGAAGGCGACUCUCUGGUCUGUUU